GAUGAACGCUGGCGGCGUGCCUAAUACAUGCAAGUCGAGCGAACAGAUAAGGAGCUUGCUCCUUUGACGUUAGCGGCGGACGGGUGAGUAACACGUGGGUAACCUACCUAUAAGACUGGAAUAACUCCGGGAAACCGGGGCUAAUGCCGGAUAACAUUUAGAACCGCAUGGUUCUAAAGUAAAAGAUGGUUUUGCUAUCACUUAUAGAUGGACCCGCGCCGUAUUAGCUAGUUGGUAAGGUAACGGCUUACCAAGGCAACGAUACGUAGCCGACCUGAGAGGGUGAUCGGCCACACUGGAACUGAGACACGGUCCAGACUCCUACGGGAGGCAGCAGUAGGGAAUCUUCCGCAAUGGGCGAAAGCCUGACGGAGCAACGCCGCGUGAGUGAUGAAGGUCUUCGGAUCGUAAAACUCUGUUAUUAGGGAAGAACAAAUGUGUAAGUAACUGUGCACGUCUUGACGGUACCUAAUCAGAAAGCCACGGCUAACUACGUGCCAGCAGCCGCGGUAA
rnacentral:rRNA from 1 species